AUUGAACGCUGGCGGCAGGCCUAACACAUGCAAGUCGAACGGUAACAGGGAUCAGCUUGCUGAUUCGCUGACGAGUGGCGGACGGGUGAGUAAUGUCUGGGAAACUGCCUGAUGGAGGGGGAUAACUACUGGAAACGGUAGCUAAUACCGCAUAACGUCGCAAGACCAAAGAGGGGGACCUUCGGGCCUCUUGCCAUCGGAUGUGCCCAGAUGGGAUUAGCUAGUAGGUGGGGUAACGGCUCACCUAGGCGACGAUCCCUAGCUGGUCUGAGAGGAUGACCAGCCACGCUAGAACUGAGAAACGGUCCAGACUCCUACGGGAGGCAGCAGUGGGGAAUAUUGCACAAUGGGCGCGAGCCUGAUGCAGCCAUGCCGCGUGUAUGAAGAAGGCCUUCGGGUUGUAAAGUACUUUCAGCGGGGAGGAAGGGAGUAAAGUUAAUACCUUUGCUCAUUGACGUUACCCGCAGAAGAAGCACCGGCUAACUCCGUG
rnacentral:rRNA from 1 species